GCUGGCGUCGCUCAGUGGCCGAGCAUCCGGCUCUUACCCGGACGACGGGGGUUCGAUUCCCUCCGCCAGCA
rnacentral:tRNA from 1 species